CUUGGUCAUUUAGAGGAAGUAAAAGUCGUAACAAGGUUUCCGUAGGUGAACCUGCGGAAGGAUCAUUAUUGAAUAAACUUGAACAGGCUGUUGCUGACCCUCGGGGGUAAGUGCACGCUUGUCAUCUUUAUUUCUCCAACUGUGCACAUAUUGUAGAUCUGGAGUUCUUGUUGAUUUUUUGUUUCGAGUUGGGACUGCUGUGCUUUCACUGUUCAGCUUUGCCUUGAGAUCUUCCAGGUCUAUGUCAUUUUCACAAACCUCUUGAAUGCGUAUAGAAUGUUGAAUCAGGUCCUUUUUGUACCUAUAAAGUUAAAUAUACAACUUUCAGCAACGGAUCUCUUGGCUCUCGCAUCGAUGAAGAACGCAGCGAAAUGCGAUAAGUAAUGUGAAUUGCAGAAUUCAGUGAAUCAUCGAAUCUUUGAACGCAUCUUGCGCUCCUUGGUAUUCUGAGGAGCAUGCCUGUUUGAGUGUCAUUUCAAGUUCUCAACCACAUCAAAUUUGAUGUGGCUUGGAUGGGUGGGGGUUCUUUUUGCAGGCUUCUGUAAAUUUGAAGUCGUGCUCCCCUGAAAUGUAUUAGUGGUAUCUGAGCAGAAGAAACUACUAUAGGUGUGAUAAUUAUCUAUGCCUURGUAUGCUGCAUGAACAGAUUGYGCCGCUUCUAACAAGUGAAAACACAAUUUGAUGAAUUGACCUCAAAUCAGGUAGGACUACCCGCUGAACUUAAGCAUAUCAAUAAGCGGAGGA
rnacentral:rRNA from 1 species